rnacentral:lncRNA from 1 species
UUCCCAAAUCAAAACUCAGUCAUCGUCUCUACUCUUUAGCUACUCUCUGUCUCUCUCCACUCUCCAGUCUCCGGUCUCAGUCUCCAGUCUCCAGUCUCCAGUCUCGUCAGUCGUCUCCACUACUUAAUACUCAUCAUCGCCAUCGACUCUCUACCUCAUAAUCGUGGCCAUUAUCAUCAUCGACUAUCUCUAUCACCAUCUUCUUUCUCGCU